GAUGAACGCUGGCGGCGUGCUUAACACAUGCAAGUCGAACGGAAAGGCCCAAGCUUGCUUGGGUACUCGAGUGGCGAACGGGUGAGUAACACGUGGGUGAUCUGCCCCGCACUUCGGGAUAAGCCUGGGAAACUGGGUCUAAUACCGGAUAGGACCACUUCUUGGAGGUUGUGGUGGAAAGUUUUUUCGGUGUGGGACGAGCUCGCGGCCUAUCAGCUUGUUGGUGGGGUAAUGGCCUACCAAGGCGUCGACGGGUAGCCGGCCUGAGAGGGUGUACGGCCACAUUGGGACUGAGAUACGGCCCAGACUCCUACGGGAGGCAGCAGUGGGGAAUAUUGCACAAUGGGCGCAAGCCUGAUGCAGCGACGCCGCGUGGGGGAUGACGGCCUUCGGGUUGUAAACUCCUUUCGCUAGGGACGAAGCGCAAGUGACGGUACCUAGAGAAGAAGCACCGGCUAACUACGUG
rnacentral:rRNA from 1 species